rnacentral:rRNA from 1 species
CCUACGGGUGGCAGCAGUGAGGAAUAUUGGUCAAUGGGCGAAAGCCUGAACCAGCCAAGUCGCGUGAAGGAUGACGGUCUUAUGGAUUGUAAACUGCUUUUAUACGGGAAUAACAAGAGCCACGUGUGACUCCCUGCAUGUACCGUAAGAAUAAGCAUCGGCUAACUCCGUGCCAGCAGCCGCGGUAAUACGGAGGAUGCGAGCGUUAUCCGGAAUUAUUGGGUUUAAAGGGUGCGUAGGCGGCUUGUUAAGUCAGCGGUGAAAUCUAGGAGCUUAACUCCUAAAUUGCCAUUGAUACUGGCGGGCUUGAGUGUAGAUGAGGUAGGCGGAAUGCGUGGUGUAGCGGUGGAAUGCAUAGAUAUCACGCAGAACUCCGAUUGCGAAGGCAGCUUACUAAGGUAAAACUGACGCUGAAGCACGAAAGCGUGGGUAUCAAACAGGAUUAGAUACCCCUGUAGUC